GCUGAUUGUCUCCUCUCAGCCUCAGGGGCUAGGAGCAAAAGGCACUCCCAGGGACAUCUAGGUUUUGGGAGCUGGGGAGACACUCUUGUCUUUUCUCCCACCCUGAAAAUGGAGCCAGUUAUCUGUGAAAGUCACCUGUCUGAACCUACGGAGGCAUUGUCAAUUUAUUCACAGUUUAGCUGCAUUGAAGUAUUAUUCACAAGGAAGUGCAAAAAAAUCCAUAGCAUCUCAGCAAGCAGCGUGAAGAACAAUUAUAGAAAAGACGAUGGAAGAUGUCACAAUCUUGUAUACAUAUUUAUCAACAUCAUUACCAUCAUUGUCAUUUUUAUUUUUUAUUUUUUUAUAAAAUGUUCAAACAUU